rnacentral:rRNA from 1 species
UCCUACGGGAGGCAGCAGUCGGGAAUAUUGCGCAAUGGAGGAAACUCUGACGCAGUGACGCCGCGUGCAGGAAGAAGGUUUUCGGAUUGUAAACUGCUUUAGAUAGGGAAGAAAAAAAUGACAGUACCUAUAGAAUAAGCUCCGGCUAACUACGUGCCAGCAGCCGCGGUAAUACGUAGGGAGCAAGCGUUAUCCGGAUUUAUUGGGUGUAAAGGGUGCGUAGACGGGAAAUUAAGUUAGUUGUGAAAUCCCUCGGCUCAACUGAGGAACUGCAACUAAAACUGAUUUUCUUGAGUGCAGGAGAG